rfam:Tupaia chinensis contig26582, whole genome shotgun sequence.
AACUUUGCGCAGUGGCAGUAUCGUAGCCAAUGAGGUUUAUCCGAGGCGCGAUUAUUGCUAAUUGAAAAUAUCAAUCCUACCCCAAAUUAAUCUUAAAAGUUCAAUGCAAUUACAAUCAAACUACCAGAGA